rnacentral:rRNA from 1 species
GGAGAAACUCCUAGCUAACCUGGGGUGAUUUUAACACUUUAAAAAGCUAAGGAGAAUCAGCCCUGGUUAGUACUUGGAUGGGAGACCACCAGGAAUGCCCAGGGAUUUUUUUUA